rnacentral:rRNA from 1 species
UACCUAACAGCUAGCCCACCCCCACAAUUCAACGAACCCCUGUUAAUAACCCCUAAUACCCCAGUAUUUAUUUUAAACAAACCAUUUUCCCCCCUUAGUAUAGGCGAUAGAAAAGGGCCUACGGCGCAACAGAAAAAGUACCGCAAGGGAACGCUGAAAGAGAAGUGAAAUAACUCAAUAAAGCCUAAAAAAGCAGAGAUUCAAGCUCGUACCUUUUGCAUCAUGAUUAAGCAAGUGUAACCCAAGCAAAGCGUACUUUAGUUUGACAUCCCGAAACUAGGUGAGCUACUCCAAGACAGCCUAUCAAUAGGGCACACCCUUCUCUGUGGCAAAAGAGUGGGGGGAGCUUUGAGUAGAGGCGAUAAACCUACCGAACCUAGUUAUAGCUGGUUGUCCAAGAAAUGAAUAGAAGUUCAGCCUUUCGGCUUCUUUUUUCACCUUAGUCUAACCCCUGUAGAUGCACUAAAGAAACCGAAAGAGUUAGUCAAAGGGGGUACAGCCCCUUUGAAUCAAGACACAACUUUGCCAGGAGGGUAAAGAUCAUAAUAACUAAAGCUAAAUGUUUAGGUGGGCCUAAAAGCAGCCAUCCCCUUAGAAAGCGUUAAAGCUCAUACAUGUAGUAUUCUUCUUAUCCUGAUCAUCAAAUCUUACCCCCCUGCCCGUACUGGACCAUCCCAUGCCUACAUGGAAGUGACUAUGCUGAAAUGAGUAAUAAGAGGGCUAUCGGCUCUCUCCCUGCACACAUGUAAAUCAGAACGGACAACCCACCGAACCUUAACGGCCCCAAAUAAAGAGGGCAGUGGAUUAUAGACCAAAAAACUAGAAAAGUGUCCAAAAACAAACCGUUAAACCCACACAGGUGUGCCCCUGGGGAAAGACUAGAAGAA